GAAUGACUCCUGGCAAUGGAUAUCUUGGCUCUCGUGCCGAUGAAGAACGUAGCGAAAUGCGACACUUGGUGUGAAUUGCAGAAUCCCGUGAACCAUCGAGUCUUUGAAUGCAAGUUGCGCACGAGGCCAUUAGGUCGAGUGCACGUCUGUUUGGGCGUCAUGU
rnacentral:rRNA from 1 species